UUUUUACAUGACGCGAACUAUACCUAAUUGCUGUCGGCGACAAAACACAUAGGAAUGCAAGCCGAUCUUCCUGAAUUGGCAGACUUCCCAAGACUAAAACAUGAAGAUUUGAUUUUGAUUGCUGUGGGCACGUAUCACUUGAAAAUCGCCCGCUCUUAUUGCAGUGAGCAUAUCAAGCAAACAGGUGUUUAUGAACUUGAAGUUUUUCGUCAUCCCGAGUUAAUACACAUUAAUGAUGAAAACUGUGUCUCAAUAAGAUGUCGCAUACAAUCGAGGCACGUAAGAAGCAAGAUCUAUUACACCUACAUUCUUUAUAAAAGGGAAAAUGGCAGGAAUGGCAUAUCAGGAUAUUACUGCUCCUGUAUUCAUGGGCGGAGAACAUUGGGCUGUUGCGCCCACGUCAUGAGCGUUUUAUAUUACUUAGGGUGGGCUAGACAUGAGGAGCAGUUCGCGCAUCCCGCAUCAUUUUUGGAUCAUAUCGUGUUAGACAUAGAGAAUCGAUGACUUUUAAGCGUAAUUAUUAAAAUGACAAGUACAUUCAUAUCGUGUUUUUAGUUCUAUCAUCCUAUUAUCUUGUAAAAGUAGUUGGGAUAGUAGAGAAGUUGCCAUAAAAAUGUCAUUAUAUACACUCUUAAACCACAACUGUAUCUGUUUACUGUUCCUUUUACUAAUACAUUAUGUUACCUCUAAAAUCUCGAGUAGCAAUGUGGCGCAGAUGGUAAAAUUCGAAUAGCAAUUUCACACAUAUAGCCACUGAUUUCGAUGAUGCCCCCUAUGUAAUAUUUAAUUACUUAUUUUUAUCUAUAUUUUGAGUUACAUUUUUUGCGCCGGGCCUGGGAUUUAUUCUCAUACUUCAUGAGCAUUGUCCUUUGGUCGAGAUCUGAUAACGACUUUUUGAUUAAUCUUUGAUAACACGUAUUUACUUGACUAUUUUUCGUCUACUUACGUUGUAUUACUAUUCGAUGUAAUUGAAGUCGGUUUUUUUUGUUUACGGGCACAUACGAUUAUUUACUUUCAAGACAGUCAUGUUGUUCGCUUGUAUGACCUAAAUGUGCAUAAUUAACUACAAUAUUAUACAAGUAGGUACCUGAAUGAUGUAAUAAAUUAAAAAUUAAAAAUGUU